UACGUAGGGGGCUAGCGUUGUCCGGAAUCAUUGGGCGUAAAGAGCGUGUAGGCUGCUCGGCAAGUCCGCUGUAAAAGUCAAAGGCUCAACCUUUGAAUGUCAGUGGAUACUGCCGGGCUAGAGUCCGGAAGAGGCGAGUGGAACUCCUGGUGUAGCGGUGGAAUGCGCAGAUAUCAGGAAGAACACCAACGGCGAAGGCAGCUCGCUAGGACGGUACUGACGCUGAGGCGCGAAAGCGUGGGGAGCGAACAGG
rnacentral:rRNA from 1 species